GAUGAACGCUAGCGGCAGGCUUAAUACAUGCAAGUCAAGGGGGUAGCAAUACAACCGGCGCACGGGUGAGUAACGCGUACACAACAUACCAUAUACUGGGGUAUAGCUUUGGGAAACUGAAGGUAAUCCCCCAUAACAUUGCGAGAGGGCAUCUGAUUGCAAUUAAAGUUUCGGCGGUAUAUGAUUGGUGUGCGUUUGAUUAGCUAGUUGGUAGGGUAACGGCCUACCAAGGCGACGAUCAAUAGCUGGCGUGAGAGCGCGACCAGCCACACUGGAACUGAGACACGGUCCAGACUCCUACGGGAGGCAGCAGUAGGGAAUAUUGGACAAUGGAGGAAACUCUGAUCCAGCCAUGCCGCGUGAUAGAUGAAGGCCCUCUGGGUUGUAAAUAUCUUUUAUCUGGGAAGAACAAUCUUAUUCUUAAGAUACUUGACGGUACCAGAGGAAUAAGCACCGGCUAACUCGUGCCAGCAGCCGCGGUAAU
rnacentral:rRNA from 1 species